GCAGAGCACUCCGUACGGGAGGCAGCAGUGGGGAAUAUUGCACAAUGGGCGCAAGCCUGAUGCAGCCAUGCCGCGUGUAUGAAGAAGGCCUUCGGGUUGUAAAGUACUUUCAGCAGUGAGGAAGGUGGAUAUGUUAAUAGCAUAUUCAUUUGACGUUAGCUGCAGAAGAAGCACCGGCUAACUCCGUGCCAGCAGCCGCGGUAAUACGGAGGGUGCGAGCGUUAAUCGGAAUUACUGGGCGUAAAGCGCAUGCAGGUGGUUUGUUAAGUCAGAUGUGAAAGCCCGGGGCUCAACCUCGGAAUUGCAUUUGAAACUGGCAAACUAGAGUACUGUAGAGGGGGUAGAAUUUCAGGUGUAGCGGUGAAAUGCGUAGAGAUCUGAAGGAAUACCGGUGGCGAAGGCGGCCCCCUGGACAGAUACUGACACUCAGAUGCGAAAGCGUGGGGAGCAAACAGGAUUAGAUACCCUGGUAG
rnacentral:rRNA from 1 species